rnacentral:pre_miRNA from 1 species
UAUAAGGGAUUUUGAGUUUUUGCUUGCAACGUUUGACCACUCGUCUUAUUCAAAAUUUUUUGAAAUUAUUAAUUAUUUUAUUUGUGACUUACUUUAUUAUCUACAAUACUGUUAAGUAUAACUUUUCGUUUUUAUAUUUACAAAAAAAAUUUAAAUAAGACAAGUGGUCAAACGUUGCAAGCAAAAACUGAAAAUCCCUUAUA